AUUGAACGCUGCGGCAGGCUUAACACAUGCAAGUCGAGCGAGCGGCGGACGGGUUAGUAAUGCUUCGGAAUCUGCCUAUUAGUGUGGGAUAACAUCUCGAAAGGGAUGCUACUACCGCAUACUAAUCGAUGAGCCUAUGUCGGCUUAGCUAGUUGGUGGGGUCAAGGCCUACCAAGGCGCGGAUCUGUAGCGGGUCUGAGAGGAUGAUCCGCCACAAUGGGGCUGGGAAAGGGGCCAGAAUCCUAAGGGAGGCAGCAGUGGGGAAUAUUGGAAAAAGGGGGGAAACGGGAACGAGCCAUGACGGGGGGGUGAAGAAGGCCAUAGGGGUGUAAAGCAAUUUAAGCGAGGAGGCGUUACUCGCAGAAUAAGGACCGGCUAACUCUGUGCCAGCAGCCGCGGUAAUUC
rnacentral:rRNA from 1 species